rnacentral:lncRNA from 10 species
GAAGCAGACCUCAGGCGGUAAUGCUGACUGGCCCGAAGCUCACCUCCUGCUGUGUUGCCCGGUUCCUAACAGGCCAUGGACCUGCACCAGUCUGUGGCCCGAAGGCUGGGGACCCCUGAUUCCUACACGAAGAAACCUCAAACCCAGGAUUCAAGCCAAAAACAAUGAUUCUCAAGUUCCUAUGAAAUCCUGGAUGGAUGUUGAACUGGGCAACGUACUAGCUGACUCCCGUGGCAGAUGCGAGCCUCAACAAAGCUCCAGGGCUGGCACUUCAAGGGAGCGGAGGUGUGUGUUUGAGUCUGAGUCACAUGCAGUAGGCCAUCUGCUCUUAUCAACAGGAUGGGAAUCUUUGCCAAGAAGACUUCUGCUAUAGCUACCAACAUAGCUGUGCCACCUGAUUCCAUGGAUUGGCAUCUCCAUCACCUAAUGAAGCAGAGAUAACACGGAGGACCUCAGUCAAUACUAUCUACAAACCUCAGUUGAUAUCAUUUGCAAACCUCCCUGAUUCAGUAUUAACAUUCACAAUAUUUAAUUAGGCACCAUUGAAUUUCAUUUACCAAAUGUCAAGCAGAUGACAAAAUUCUCCCAAUUUGAUAAAAUUUGAUAAAUUUUAAUGUUGACAUUAAGUCACUUUUAUUUUAGAAAACAGCAAGACAUCUUAGAUUUUGAAAACGGAAAAGUCAAUAUCACCAAAGUCUGUUUGUUGGUAUAAGAUAAAAAAUUGAGUUA